rnacentral:sRNA from 1 species
GCUGGGUGUGGUGGCAUAUGCCUGUAAUCCUAGCUAUUUGGAAGGCUGAGGCAGAAGGGUCACAAGUUCGAGGUCAGCCCUAGCACCUUAGCGGGAACCUAAGCAACUUAGUGAGACUCUGUCUCAA